rnacentral:rRNA from 1 species
GAUGAACGCUGGCGGCGUGCCUAAUACAUGCGAGUCGAGCGAACAGACGAGGAGCUUGCUCCUCUGACGUUAGCGGCGGACGGGUGAGUAACACGUGGAUAACCUACCUAUAAGACUGGGAUAACUUCGGGAAACCGGAGCUAAUACCGGAUAAUAUAUUGAACCGCAUGGUUCAAUAGUGAAAGACGGUUUUGCUGUCACUUAUAGAUGGAUCCGCGCCGCAUUAGCUAGUUGGUAAGGUAACGGCUUACCAAGGCAACGAUGCGUAGCCGACCUGAGAGGGUGAUCGGCCACACUGGAACUGAGACCCGGUCCAGACUCCUACGGGAGGCAGCAGUAGGGAAUCUCCCGCAAUGGGCGAAAGCCUGACGGAGCAACGCCGCGGGAGUGAGGAAGGUCUUCGGAUCUAAAACCUCUGUUAUGAGGGAAAAACAAAUGUGUAAGUAACUAUGCACGUCUGGACGGUCCCUAAUCAGAAGGCCACGGCUAACCACGUG